rnacentral:lncRNA from 1 species
GUAAUGGCGUACAUCUGUUCUUAAAGUUUACUUGGUAAGGAACAUUCUUUAAACUUCAAAACAGGGGGAGAGGCAUGUUGUUUUUUUUUUUUUGUCUUAGUCAGAACAUUUUUUUGCGCUUUUUUAUUUUUUCGACGCUAUAAAUCAAAAUCAUGAUAAUUUGUACCAAAAAAUAAAAUCACAAAUUAUAAUUUUUAUAUUAAUUGUUAAUUAUUUAUAACGUAUAUAUUGAUUUUGUACAAAUUUCAAUUUGUCCAAAAAAUGCUUGUAUAAAUUACAAUUUGUACAAAAUUUAACUAAAUUUGACUCGUAAAUUUCACUUAUAACUUGAUGUUCAAAAGGCAAUAUUUAUAGAUUAUCAUUGAUCAUCUCAACAAGAUUGAUUGUCUUGUUUGAGCAGGGACGGCGAAAGCGAGAAAUGCAAUCGAGUUGAGCUGAUCAAUGAUAAUCUGUUUACCGCUAUUUUACCGAUGACGACGUUGUCAAUUUCAUGUCAAUUUCGUUAGCAACGCCACGUGUGUCCUUAGUUUCUAGUGAUAAUUUUCCAUCUCAAGCGAGUAGCAUGAUAUGAAAAAUUUUCACAAAAACAGAUCAAAGGAAAAAUGCACGAAAUAGCGAUAAAUUAAGUUAUCUCGAUACACAAUGAUGGCCUUUUAUAUAUUUUCAACAGUCAUACAUUUUAAUUGCCUUGAGUAAAACCUUAAUUGUGUGCAUUCAAAUCAUUUGAUGAUAUACUGUAAACAUGUGUGGCCAGCAAUGCUGAUCAGCAGGAUAUAUUUGUCCACGGAAUUCUGAACCUAGCAGAGAAUAACACAUGAAAGCGCAUCCAUGUGAUCACCAAAGUGUUCUGGUAUCAUAUUGAACAGCUGUGGGAAUUUUUGUCCAGAAUUCAAAAUGAAGCUGUUAAAACACAUGUAUAUUCACAACAACGGGUAAAGAGCAACUUUCGCUACGUGAAACAGUUAAAAAGCUUUUAAUAAAACUAGUGGUUAUGGGUUUUUUCAUUUAAAUACAAAACGGGGCAGGAGGGUGCAGCUCUUCUUAAUAUAAAAACAACAUCUUUUUUUAUUCUGAAAAAUUAGGGUUAGCCAAGCAUGCACGGGCCAAGUUGUUAGUUACAUUGUAGUUCAUACUAAGAUGUCAGUGAAAGUAGCUUGAACUCUAGCCAUGUGCAAAUUAGUUUGCAUCAUACAUUUCGUAUCAAUAUUUUAAAUUCAAAAAUAUUCCUGAUUCAAAUAAUUGCUUGUUUAAUAUGUGAAAAAGCAAAUGAUAUUGUGCAAUUCCCAAUCCCAUGAUUAUAUCACAUGCUGAAACAAAUUAUAUUAAACUAUUUUUGUAUUUUGUUAAUAAGGUAAACUGUUCCAUGUAUUAUGUAAUGUGCUAUUAAGUUGUCAUGUAUGUCAUUAUGGGUAUAAUAGUAUGUCAUUUGGUGGUAUAAUUGUGCAUUAUUUUAAUAAAUAUUAAACAGAAAUGAUAUACCGGGGAUUCAUUAUUAUUCGUUUGAUACCAAUUUUCGUGGGUUUCGAGAGUACAGAUGAACCACGAAUAUAAACGUUUUAAAUGUUUAACAAAUUAUACAUUUUCUAUAGGCUUUGUAUGUUAAGACUAAAGUUGAUACUAUAAGCUGGUAGAGCAUCAAUUAAGGAUAAAGAUAAGCUAAAAUAAUUAAUUAUAGGUCAUGGACCUCCUUUUCGAGAUAUUUGAGAUUUAAAAUAUGGCGGGAAAAAGCGGAUUCGCACUUUUACUUUAUAUUUGCAUUGGAACUAUUUUGGUCUCAAAACAAAAGAAUCAUCUAAAAUUUUGGUAAAUGACCUUUCUUGAGCUAUUAAGUCUUAUAUGAAAAAAUAAAUGGGUGUUAUGGGGCAAAUUGUAUGGAAAAACAUCAAGGAACAUUUGACACAAAUUCCAAAACCUCACCUAAGUACAUCCUUAAUAUCCACAAAAUCUAAGUUUUUCUCAAUCCACGAAAAUUGAUACUAACGACAAUGACUGAAUCCACAGGAGUGUGUAUCAAUGCUUUUUUGCAAAACAAAAUCCUCAAUAUAAAGUAGUGUACACGCACAUGUUAAAAGUGAAGUACAGUCCAAUUUAGAACAAAUUGUAAUUUGGACAAGCAUUUACUAGUAUUAGACAACAUACAAAUUACAAUGUGUACAGUUAAAAUACAGAUUAUAAUUUGUACAAUUAUUUUUGUCAGUUGUAUUAUUAAUUAAGACAAUUUGUACAAAGUCAAAAUACAAAUUAUAAUUUGUACAAUUUUUUGUACGAAUCAUAAUUUGUACAAAAUGAUUACUUGUACACAACACAUACAAGAAACAGAAUUAGUGAUGAAUGCUUCAAAUUGUUUAAAAUUUUGGAGGAGUUACACGGGCCAAAAAUACGACAAAAAUCAAAUGAAGUGAAUAUUUGUAGUUGCAUAAAUUGAUGAUAUUUUGAUUUUAAAUGAAAAAUUUAAAGAGCACAUGCAACAUCUUGACGAAGUGCUUACUAGAUUACAAAAAGCAAAUUAUACUCCUAAGACUGAAAAUUGUCACUUUGUUUUUUUGAAAGUCACUUAUUUAUGCUAUUUCAAAAGAUGGUGUCAAGGUUGAGAACACAAUAAUUGUAAUUUUGAAAUUUAUACAGUUCCUAAACGUCAGUGCGAGGUAAUAUGACAGUUGUUAUGUCUAUUUUUUAAAAUUCAUAACCAACAUGUCGAAAGUCACGUAGUUCUUAAACCCAUCCAAUUUUUAUUUAUAAAUAGAAUGAAAUUCAAAACAGUGUGGCUGUGGCCAUUGAUUGACACAUUAAAUUCAUCCAUUGACUGGGACAAUUUAGGUGAACGUUUGUAUGUAACGACCAGACCACUGCUCACUAUGUACUUUUAAAGACACUUAAACUAUGGGUCACCAAAGGUUUUCAACACCUUAAUAAAGUAAUUCGAAAAAUUAAUCAGAAAUAACACGAUGUUUUAUUUUAUAUCAAUUAUAUAAAUCAAAACAUAAAGGUUAUUCCUGAUUAAUUUUUCGAAUUAUUUUAUAAUUAAAGGCGUUAAGAAACCUUUGGUUACCUCACAGUUUAAAUGUCUAUCGUAGGUACGUCGUGAACAGUGGUCGUUACAGACAAACGUUCACGUAAAUUGUCUCAGUCAAUGGAUGAAUUUAGCCACACUGUUUUGAAUUUCAUUCUAAGAGCAUAUGUAAGAAAGCUAGUCUAGUUUUGCCUUCAGACCAACACACAGUAAUUCAAGUUAUUAAUGCUAAUAAGUUGUGAUAAACUAAAAACGAAGAAAUAAAAAUGAACUCUUUUUAAAAUUGGAAUUAAACUCAUAUAAACUAGAACAAAACCGCCCGAGCGAGACUUGAAGACUACUUGAAAUAUUGAUUGUGAUACACAGCUUGGGUUCGUGUAACUCAAACUGUUUUAUUCACUGUUUCAGCUAAUGCAUUGUGUUGAUAUUUAUACAAUGUUAAUAUUAGUUUGUCAUUUGAAUGCCCAAUUAUUAGCUUCUGUCUCUGUGUUACACAGGUGCUCCCAGAACGGAGGAAAGAACACAGAGAAGAAGAAGGAAGAUAACCUAGAUAACCUAGAAAACUGAUGAUUAAAACAUUUCUCAGAGGUGCUAGAUUGUAGUAUUUAUUUUUAUUUUUCGAAAGGUGCGAGUCAAGCUCUCGACUGUCCUUGUGUGAUACAGGUGCUCCAAGAACGGAGGAAAUAGCUCAGAGAUGAAGGCAAUUUUUGAACUCUCUGAUGAUUUAAUAUCAAAUUUUUAGAAAAAAGUAAAAUCACAAAAAUACUGAACUCAGAGGAAAAUCAAUUCGGAAAGUCCAUUAUCACAUGGCAAAAUCAAAUAACAAAAC